rfam:Synechococcus phage S-SSM7, complete genome.
CAACACUUUUCCGACCCGCUAACCAAGACCUAUGGGUCGUUAAAUUACGUCUUUAUCUUACUCAAAAUAAACAUCGCA